rnacentral:rRNA from 1 species
AUUGAACGCUGGCGGUAUGCUUAACACAUGCAAGUCGAACGGCAGCACGAGAAAGCUUGCUUUCUUGGUGGCGAGUGGCGGACGGGUGAGUAAUACAUAGGAAUCUACCUCGAAGCGGGGGAUAACCCGGGGAAACUCGGGCUAAUACCGCAUAAUCUCUACGGAGGAAGCAGGGGAUCUUCGGACCUUGCACUUUGAGAUGAGCCUAUGUCGGAUUAGCUAGUUGGUAGGGUAAAGGCCUACCAAGGCGAUGAUCCGUAGCUGGUCUGAGAGGACGAUCAGCCACACUGGGACUGAGACACGGCCCAGACUCCUACGGGAGGCAGCAGUGGGGAAUAUUGGACAAUGGGCGCAAGCCUGAUCCAGCAAUACCGCGUGUGUGAAGAGGGCCUUCGGGUUGUAAAGCACUUUCAGUAGGGAGGAAAGGCUCAGAGCUAAUAUCUCGGAGAGUUGACGUUACCUACAGAAGAAGCACCGGCUAACUCUGUGCCAGCCGCCGCCGUAACAC